CAGGAGGAGCGUGUAUUGUAGAGACCAUCUUAGAGCAAAUGCCCAGCUCUUAGGAAGGCAGAGGGAAGCCAUGGCAUACGCUACAUAAUCUACAGGUAGUAAAAGGAGCCCAGACCACAGGACAGCAAUCAGCGCUGGAAAGACACACUUAGGUCACUAAGACCCAGAGUUGCAGAAUAUAGAGAAGACCCCACAGCCGGGACUGAUGGGAGACUCAGUGACCCUUAAAAUGCAUUCGAUCCUAUGCAGCAAUCCUUCCUUCAAACUCCUAUACUUCGAUCAUUCUGGUUGCACUAUUCUGAGACAAGCUUUCACUAUGCAGCCCAGGAUGGCCUCAAAUUCCCAAUCCCUCUGCCUCGGCUUUUUCCAUGUGUAAGACUCCACGGCCCUAGCACAGGUUUACCAUUCUCGUGCAGAAGGUAUUUGCACUUGGUGAUGGACACUUUGGUUCUGCACUUUUGUUUCGACACACCUCAAGUUCCUGGCUCAUCUAACUCAUCGAGGCAACAUUAUUAGGAAUCUCAGUUAACCUGACUUCUCUGCAAUUUCUCUCGCCAUCCCAGCGACACUAACAGACUAAUCAAGAACUCCCGGGCCUGCUCUUUCAAUCCCAGGCCACAGCCCUCAUGCCUGCAGUAUUCUUUGGCAACCUCUCGCAGAGCACUGCUCUCCUUCAGCGUCUAUUGCCAGAACUACCCAGUUCCAUGAACCCUGAUUGUUACAGAAACAAAAACGGCAACCGUCCAGACCCAACUCCAGGCUCGUAGAAGUCUCAGAUAGUCCAGGAAGGUCUCAAAACCAUUAUGUAGAUCAAAGAUGACCUUGAACUCCUUCACCUACACCUUUGGAUUGCUGGGGAUACAG